rnacentral:tRNA from 2 species
GGUAGUGUGGCCGAGCGGUCUAAGGCGCUGGUUUUAGGCACCAGUCUCUAUGAGGCGUGGGUUCGAAUCCCACCACUGCCA